GACGAACGCUGGCGGCGUGCUUAACACAUGCAAGUCGAACGACGAAGCCGGAGCUUGCUCUGGUGAAUUAGUGGCGAACGGGUGAGUAACACGUGAGUAACCUGCCCUUGACUCUGGAAUAACUGCGGGAAACUGUAGCUAAUACCGGAUACGACCCUCGGAGGCAUCUCAUGGGGGUGGAAAGAAUUUCGGUCAAGGAUGGACUCGCGGCCUAUCAGCUAGUUGGUGAGGUAAAGGCUCACCAAGGCGACGACGGGUAGCCGGCCUGAGAGGGUGACCGGCCACACUGGGACUGAGACACGGCCCAGACUCCUACGGGAGGCAGCAGUGGGGAAUAUUGCACAAUGGGCGCAAGCCUGAUGCAGCAACGCCGCGUGAGGGAUGACGGCCUUCGGGUUGUAAACCUCUUUUAGCAGGGAAGAAGCGAAAGUGACGGUACCUGCAGAAAAAGCACCGGCUAACUACGUGCCAGCAGCCGCAGUAA
rnacentral:rRNA from 1 species